rnacentral:rRNA from 1 species
AUGCCUUACGAUGAGCGGUACACACCGUACAUCAAGCAGGCAGGACUACUCCCGUGGAUUCUGUUGGUCAGCCGGUCCACGCCGAAUCUGAACACUCCACUAGUGUCCGCUCUUGUUGAUCGGUGGAGGCCAGAGACCCACAGUUUCCAUCUUUGGACCGGGGAGAUGACCGUGACGCUCGAGGAUGUCUCGUUGAUCACCGGUCUUGCUAUCGACGGGAGGCCUCUAUGUAUGAGCACCGAUUCUGAUGGGUGGCGCGAGCACCGAUAA